GCCUUAGUAGCUUAAUCGGUAAAGCAGUGUCUUUUCGUGUCAAAGUUGAAAGUUCAAGUCUUUCUUAGGGCA
rfam:PVC group bacterium (ex Bugula neritina AB1) isolate AB1-3 AB834_contig000017, whole genome shotgun sequence.